rnacentral:rRNA from 1 species
AGUGAACGCUGGCGGUAAGCCUAACACAUGCAAGUCGAACGGCAGCACAGUAAGAGCUUGCUCUUACGGGUGGCGAGUGGCGGACGGGUGAGGAAUACAUCGGAAUCUACUUUUUCGUGGGGGAUAACGUAGGGAAACUUACGCUAAUACCGCAUACGACCUACGGGUGAAAGCAGGGGAUCUUCGGACCUUGCGCGAUUGAAUGAGCCGAUGUCGGAUUAGCUAGUUGGCGGGGUAAAGGCCCACCAAGGCGACGAUCCGUAGCUGGUCUGAGAGGAUGAUCAGCCACACUGGAACUGAGACACGGUCCAGACCCCUACGGGAGGCAGCAGUGGGGAAUAUUGGACAAUGGGCGCAAGCCUGAUCCAGCCAUACCGCGUGGGUGAAGAAGGCCUUCGGGUUGUAAAGCCCUUUUGUUGGGAAAGAAAAGCAGCAGGUUAAUACCCCGCUGUUCUGACGGUACCCAAAGAAUAAGCACCGGCUAACUUCGUG